ACUAGCUCUUCAAGUGGUCGGGAUGAUUAUUGGGCUUAAAGUGUCCGUAGCCGGUUUAGAAAGUUCCUGGUAAAAUCAGGUAGCUUAACUAUCUGUAUGCUAGGAAUACUACUAUACUAGAGGACGGGAGAGGUCUGAGGUACUACAGGGGUAGGGGUGAAAUCUUAUAAUCCUUGUAGGACCACCAGUGGCGAAGGCGUCAGACUGGAACGUGCCUGACGGUGAGGGACGAAAGCCAGGGGAGCGAACCGGAUUAGAUACCCGGGUAGUCCUGGCCGUAAACGAUGCAUACUAGGUGAUGGCCCGGCCAUGAGCCGUGUCAGUGCCGUAGGGAAACCGUUAAGUGUGCCGCCUGGGAAGUACGGUCGCAAGGCUAAAACUUAAAGGAAUUGGCGGGGAGCACCACAAGGGGUGAAGCCUGCGGUUC
rnacentral:rRNA from 1 species